GUUUCCCGUAGGUGAACCUGCGGAAGGAUCAUUAU
rnacentral:rRNA from 1 species